GAUAUCCAAAUCUAACUUAUUCCUAAUCCUAGUUAACACUCCAAUUAUCACUCCAAAACCCUAAUCCUAAAGUUUUAGGCGCCAACUAAUUAUGGCCCUUGGAUUGAUCCAGCCCUUUAUAUCAAACUUUGUGAAACGUGUGCAUAGUUUCAAUGUUUGCAUUGUUAAUUCCAAUGCUUUGGUUACCAAUGUAAUGCAUAUAGUAAAACAACAACCUCUCCGACCCACCCUCUUCAUCGUCGCUUUCUCUCCUCCCUCUCUUUUCCUCUUCCACAAAUUCUCACCCAAGCCUUUCAGCUCUGACCAUUUCCUCACAACCAAGCCUUUUAGCUCCGCCGCUGCUGUCUUUGAUUCCAACCCAACACUUUCUUCUUGCUCAAAUCAGAAUCGUUGAUAUUCUCUCUCUCUUUUCUCUUCAUCAAUGGGUCUUCCAAUUCUGGGUUUUCCCUUUUCAGCAUCAUCUUCAAUCUUAAUUCCUAUCAAUUGACUAUUCAAAUCAGAUCUCAAAGUUUCUGAGAAGAAAAGAGAAUACGCCGGCUAAUGUAAUUGGAUUUCCGAUGAAUGACUUUCCUAUAAUCACGUUUUUCAGCCGUUGGCAGGCUUUGUUAUGGUAGAGGUCCUUAAGCAACUUUUUUCUCAACUGUUUGUCCCAUACUCAUCUCUGCUCCCACAUUAUCAUCUUUGUUUACUAAUAAAACUAUUCCAUUAGUUUAACUUUUGAUUCUUCUCUUAACUUAUUCACUAAUGUAUUUAGUUUAUGUAUUUUGAUUUUGUGCUAUUGAUGCACUUUAUUUUCUAAUUUUACCAUUCAAUUUUUUAUAUUCAUUUUAUUUUUGAUUGCACUAUAUCAGCAUAAAAGCUUUGGCAAGGGUAAAUGUUAUUUUCCUGAUAACUUUGCAGGUAAAAUCCUCUGUUUGGCUGUAUAGGAAGGAGCUGAGUAUAGUUUUGAUAUGCCUUACAAAUCCUCCACUUUUACAAACUUGAAGGAUGAUUGGAUCAUACAUCUGUCGUCAUAUUUCAGUCUGUCGUCAAAUUAGAUCCACAUGUUAUGCAAGAGGAACUUUCGUUUAGUUCGGGUUUGCAAUAAGGACAGCCACAUGUGUCUCUAAUUAAAACAGAAAAUGACGAGACUCUAAUAAGGACAACCACAUGCUUAGAAUUGAGGCACUCAACCCUCUGAAAGCCAACUCUUUACUCUAUACUUGAAGAAUUUGACAAGAGAUCUAACAAAACUUAUGUAGCAUUUUUCACCCAUCAUGUUUAUGAUCAAGGGAUGAUAUCUGAUCUUAUGGUAUUUUUACAAGUCAAAUUGAGACAUAUAUAUCGGAGUUUGCACCAUUACUUACUACAAGGUUUAGAACAACUAUGAUAUGAUAUUAGUGUGCCAAAGUGAAUCAGGAAGAGGCUAAUAUGCCAAUGUAACAUUUGUAAUAUUAUCUAAUAUAUAAUAAUAAUUUAUUUUUCUCAGCAAAUUGGCAAGCAAACAUGUUCAAUUGGCAUCAACAUCCCUCCUUUGUUUAGGUCGAAAUCCUUUAAGGGUUACAUG